GUGAGGAAUAUUGCGCAAUGGAGGCAACUCUGACGCAGCCAUGCCGCGUGCAGGAAGAAGGCGCUACGCGUUGUAAACUGCUUUUAACCGGGAAGAAACCCCAGGACGUGUCCUGGGUUGACGGUACCGGAGGAAUAAGCACCGGCUAACUUCGUGCCAGCAGCCGCGGUAAUACGAAGGGUGCAAGCGUUAUCCGGAUUCAUUGGGUUUAAAGGGUGCGUAGGCGGAGCGUUAAGUCAGUGGUGAAAUCCUGCAGCUUAACUGUAGGCUUGCCAUUGAUACUGGCGCUCUUGAGUGAGCUUGAAGUGGGCGGAAUGUGCCGUGUAGCGGUGAAAUGCUUAGAUAUGGCACAGAACACCAAUUGUGAAGGCAGCUCACUAAGGCGAUACUGACGCUGAGGCACGAAAGCGUGGGGAUCGAACAGGAUUAGAUACCCGUGUAGUCC
rnacentral:rRNA from 1 species